rnacentral:misc_RNA from 1 species
UCUCCGUAGGUGAACCUGCGGAGGGAUCAUUACUGAGUGAGGGUCUCCGGGCCCGACCUCCAACCCUUUUGUGAACCACCUCGUUGCUUCGGGGGCGACCCUGCCGUUCGCGGCGUGGGGCCCCCGGAGCCCAUCAAACCCUGCGUCCCUGCGUCGGAGUACCUUUGAUAAAUCAAUCAAAACUUUCAACAACGGAUCUCUUGGUUCUGGCAUCGAUGAAGAACGCAGC